UUACUUUUAGCAAAUGAAGAAUGUGCAUAGUUUAGUUUGUAGCUCACAUGUUGCAUUCAAAUUGCUUCUUUCUACAGUGCAUUCUGCAUAUGAAGUUCUCUGAGAUGUCUGAACUAGAUUCACUGAAGAACAAGCCUUUGAAAAUGAGCACCAGUGAGAUAAUGAAUUGUGUUUUGAAAAUGUUUAUACUUGCUACGUUCCCCACCUCCUCUAUGUAAAGAGUGGCAGAGCACUCGUACUACAGAACGGAUUAGCUUAUGUUUCUUUAAGGCACAAACCACAACGAAGUAAUGCAUAAUUGUCCUUUGCAUUUAAAAAAGACCAUGCUCUUAAACAGGAUACAGCAACAGGGAAACCAGAAAUAGAUGUGACCAGACACCUGCUGACAAACAGUGACAAAUCCCACUGACACUGCAGUGACCCCCAGUUAGUCAAGAUUUAAUUAAAGAGUAUAAUUAAGUCAGUGGAACAGAACACUAAUGAGUGGUGGUUUUUUAUAUGGGUAAUUACACAUAAGAAUACAAAGUAAGCUAGACCCCGACAUAUAUCAUUAAAAUGAACAGUAUAGAAGGACAACCAGAGCUUAAAUAUUUUUUAUUUUCUCCACAAUAAUGCAGGUUGUAGCACCCCAUCUUGCCAAGCGUAUGUAACAUGCUAACAAAUGCCCCUGGCCCAGCAAAGCAUGUGUCUAAGCAUGUUGGUAACAUGACCUUGGUGGCACAAUGCACAUCACCAGGGCUACACAUGCAUGGGUCUGCCAGGCUCUGUCUGUCACUGUGUUUGCCUGUGUUUGUUCUGGGCAGGGGUCACUUGGGCUCCUUUUCUAACAAAUGACAUUCUGUUGCUAUUUUCUUACAAGUAACACAGCCUCUGGAUUUCAUUUAUCACGAGUGUUGAUUACGAGAAAGACAUAGGUUACAAAUUGUUCCUAUGAUUAUCUGCAUGUUUGGCACACUAUACCUUUACAAUCAAAUGACAGAGAUUUCUUACAGCACAUCGAGAUCCAGUUCUCUGGAAUUUAUUCUGGGAAUCUUCAGGCAGUUGAAUGAAAUAGCUGAAAUAUCUCUGACUACGUGGUAUUUGCUGAUAUUUGCUUAUAUUUCAAACAUAAAAGUAUUGUAAGGUAGAUUUACUAGACCAACAUUUUAAAUUAGGGUGGAAAACAUCAUCAUGAAUAAUGAUGACAAUGGUUGGGGAAAAACAACUUUCCUAUGGUCUUGAAGAUUUAAAAGAAUGCCUGUGUAGUUUGGGGCCAGCCCUCUGCUGGGAUUACUCUAUCUGCUCCCAGCUGGUAGCCUGCAGUUCAUGACAGCCUUUUAUCCGUUAUCAAAGCAACAAGUGGAAAAGCAGAUCCUCCUGCCUGCUAACACUCUGUUCUGUUCUCUCUGUAGAAUUUCUGCUUCUAAAUCUUUCCUUUUAACAACUCCUCAGAUUUCCUUCCUAUGGCUGCAGGAGACACUAAAUAUCUCAAGUUUCUAGCUCACUUGUCUAACUUAAACUCUGCAGAACACUAAAGGAAGAAAGUAUAAUUGCAUUGCACCAACAAGUUUUCUACAGGAACUGACUGAAAUGCAGAAUGAGCCCGAUCUUCUCACACUGGAGAGUUUUGCAACUGAGUUCAGUGACAGCAAAAGAAGAACCUAAUUAUGCAAACAACAUGGUACCAAUAUAAUGCUUUUAAAAUUUAUGUUAGUACAAGUUUUACUGUUGCAAAAACAGAGCAAUCAAACUGCAUUGAAACUUAUGUCUUAUAUCCCGCAUUUACUUUGCUUUUUUAGUAGCAUAGGAAAAACAAAAAAAGGUAGAACUACGAGAUAUUUAAGUAUAUUUAAUGCAAAUUCUUUCAAGCAAAAUUUGUCCACUGAAACGGAACAGUUAUUUGUUAUUAAAACAAAUAUAAAUGAAUAUAUUUUAUAUAGUAAAAAUAUAUAUCCCACUUUCCUUAAAAUCAUGCUGCCUCAGAGUAAUAGGCCUUAGAUACACAAUCCUGUAACAGUAACUACAAUCAGGUAAAAUUUGAGAUAAUUUACUAAGCUGUUAUGUAGGCUAUGUUAAACAAAAAUAUACGUUAAGAUUUUGGGGGCUUUUGCUAAACACUUUGGUUUUUAAACAGAUUUUCCCACAAUUUAUGACAGUCAUGCAAUGACAGAAGAUGCCAUGGGAAUGCCAUCGUGGCAGUGAAUUUGGCUUCCUCUCUGGACCCAGGCCUUUGCCACCCGGCUCCUCUGUGCAUGCCAACGUGCCCCUCUGUGCUGGCCACAAGAGAUGGGGCAGGGCCAGGUCCUGCCAGCACUGUGCCCUGCCCACAGCACAGUCCUGUCAUACUGAGGAGAACCAGCCCUGGAGCCUCUGGUGCUUUGCUGAGAUGUGGGCAUAGCAUCUCAUUUUCAUGAGGUGCCUGAGGUAAACAUUCCGGAGAAGGACACAAAAAUUUUAAGAUAAGAAAUUUCUAUCUUAGUUUUAUUCCCAUAAGCUGAAGCACAUGCAAAAAUCCUAUGCAAAAAAACCCCAAAAAACUUUAAUACAAUAAACCAAGGGAAGUAAUGAAAAUUAUGCAAAUUAUUUCCCCAUUUUCAUUUUUCUGCGGGCAUGUGCCAGUAUAAAAUAUGGGUCAGCAGGAGUGACUUCUGCAUGGGCUGCAGACACACGAGUGCAUAAUGGGUCCCUGACGUCUUCUUCUGCCCCAUGUGUGUCCCCGCGAGGCUGCCCCUGCCCGGCCGCGUAUGAAUGAACAGAAGUGCCUUUCAUCCCCCACUUGCCUGGCGCUUCAAAAGGAAUUACGAAAAUAGCAGCAACAAAAACCCAGCUGCCUGCCAAAAGGCCCGCACACGUCCCAUUCUCACAGGCAUGUGAAAGGUUGGAGAGCUCAGCAGAAUUUUUAUGUACGGGAGCAGGCCCAAGGAAAACUCACACGCCAUAACCAAUUGUGGACAGAGGAUCAUCUAUCAGCAGACAAAUGCAGGAACUCCAGAAUGUCUCUCCUCAAAUGAAAUAAUAUAUCUUUGAAAGCCAAUGCCCGUUUUAGGCCUGAGGCCCAUAUAUCAAGCCUGAGAGGCUUGUGGAUACGCUCCAGGGCCAUUAACCUUCCACCUGUUUCCCCUUGUCCUUCAGGAUGAGACCCUGCCCUUGAUUUUACUCCCUUCCCCUGUUCAUCUUCCGACAGAGUGUAAAUGUAAAGCAGAGGGCCUGCGAAAUAAUUCAAAGGCAAUGGACCAGGGACAUGGUUACAAAUCUCUGCCACUGGCACUGUGACUUAUGCAGGCAGUUUGUCACACAUGAGCCAGGUGACCUCUGUGACAUAACAGAGAAAAAUAUCGCCGGAGAUCAAAAGAUGAGAUUCAGAGCAGUCUAAGUAACUCUGGUGUACACAGCCACGCUAUGCAGUGGCCAAGGGUUUCCUCUCCUCCCAGUGCUGCUCACUCCACUCACUAGCAGGUGAGACACACUGCUGCUAAUUUCAGUAAUCUCUUUUUCUUUCAUCUCUUUGGAAAUUUUUCCUAUAACCUGAACAUCAACAUUUGUCUCCUUCUGAAGCCUCUUUUUUGAAAAAAAGAUAAUUAGAUUGACAAGGAGGGACAGCAAAGUGUCGUUCAGCAGAUAAAAAUUAAUGAAAAAAAUGCAUUAUGAUUGAAAAGGAUGGAUUAGUCACCUUUGUAAACAGGUCUAUUUUAAUAAAGUAAUUUUUGAAAUUUUAAGUAGUAUGAGCUCUACUAUAUAUCUAGUAUAUGUCUAGUAUUGCAAUAAAAAGUGUUCAAAGUUCAAAGUUUUAUUGGGAUUCAGCUCUCGUGAUGGUAAAAAUGAGAGUAGAGUUAGUAUUAAAAAUGAUGUAAUAGACCCAGAUAGCACACUUCUGUACCUAUUAAUGUUUUACAAAGAGAUAUACUACAGUAUCAGAAUAACAGUCACUUGAAAUAAACCAAAUCAGAUUAAAUUUUUAAAAAUCUUGAAUUCAUUUUUCAAGCUGUGUGCUACAUAGGAAGUUUCCCAGCUGUUUUGUACAUUCAGAACUCUGCUGGGUGCAGACAAAAGAGUAAGGCCUAAUGCAGUGCUUCUCUUUCACUCCCUGUAACCUAAUGGUAUGUCUGGUAUGGACAUUUAAUUUUGUCUAUUUCAUAAAUUAAAGAAACCCCACAACUGUCACGGUAUCCCUGGCAUGAUGAUGAAAUGAGAAAUACAACUGUAGCUAAAUCAGCCUAAAUCCCAUUCUAAUCCUAAAUCACUUUGGCACUUGCCAACAUCUACUUGAUGAAAAACUCAGUUUAACCCAUGAAUAUAUCUAAAAAUAUACUUAUACAGACACACACACACACAGAAAUUCAGCACAUUGAUUACAAGUGUGCUAAGUGUUACCUUAUCAGCUAUUUCAUCCUGCUUAGUCUCAUGCUGACUUGGAAAAUUUUGCAAUGUUCAAGCUCUUUCUCAAAAUCACCUCGUGUUCCACUAUGGAAAUAUAUCUAAAUUCACUACAUCUAAAAGCAUAAAAAAUUUGGACAAUGGAUAGGUUUUGAGGCUAAAUCGUGCAGUUACAAAGAAAUGCACAGCUGAAAAUCAUUUCAUGUAUCCCGUUGACUAAAACCUGAUGUACAGCAUAAACCACUCUGUUGCAGAAUGCUGCAACGGUAAACACAGUAAAUGCAAAAUUAGUAUUACAAAAAGAUUACUGUGAAGUGUUGCCACAUGCAUUUGUAAAAAUAAGACAGCUGUUUGAUUUUAUAGUGCUAAAAUCUUUUGCUUUUGUUCAGGCCAUAUGAUUAAACACACAUUUUCUUCUUUUUAAUAUCUCUAAAAAAAGUCUGUCAGAGACACAACAGUCAGCAAUUACAGGUCACUUUGUCACCAGUUUCACUGAACUCCAAGUCAAAUUCCAGAUGUCUUCAUUUUGGAAAAUAUCUAGUGUUACUUUUUGUGUAAAAUAUAGGUGUUAUAAACAAAUUUUUGGCAGUCAGAUCUUUAGCUCUCUUGCACUCCUACAGAACAUAUUAAUUAAUUUUUUAUUUCGUUUUGGUUUCACUUAGGUUUUCUGCAUUUUUUUAAUAUAUUUGAUGUAUCGCUGAAAAAAAAUUAAUAUUUAAUUUCAGAAGCACCUAACCCAAUCCAUUUCCUUUUACAGUAAGUAUGAUCUAGUGCAUCUGCUUUUGUAAUAUUCAUGAAAUCUGGAAAUCAAGGCUAGGCAUCAUAUGCUACCAUCAUAUGCUAAUAGAGGGUUUUGCUCAUUUGAGUGUUUGAUCUGUUUUGAAUGCCCAAAUGGCCUAUUAGAAUUUCCAAGACAUAAACUACUGUAAAUGUUAUUAUAUGUAUAAAAAUACUAUUAUGUGGAUAUAAUAAAUUUUAAUUUUUAUAGAUACACACUCAGAUUCACAUGAAAUAAUUUGUCUCGUUUACCUCCUGUCAUGUGCUUUUUGUGUAAAUAGCUGCUGAACUAUUUUAUAAAACUGAAGGUUAAAUUAUGCUGGUUCUAAAGAAGAGAAUUUGACUCUUGGUUAUAAUAUAACACAAUAUCUUGUCUUGAGGAAAAAAGCCUUAAAAUAAUUGGAUUACAUAGUACACGCAUGCUACAAGCCCAGUUAAUUGUAUUUUUGAGUGGAUAUGCCUCUCUGAUUCAGGCAUUUGAAACAAAAUAAAGCAAGGAGUAUUUAUCAUUAGCAGUAAUAUAACAAAUAAUAAUAAUUUGGGGCAUGAAUCAUUCCUUACAUUCCUUUCCAACUACAGACAAUUUCUGUUGGGAAAAGUGCCAUAUAGUAUCGACAGUGACAACAAAUUGUAUUGUCCGCUGAACAUCUGUUUCCGACUCCCACACUGAUAUUGCAGAGAAAGGAGAGCAAGAAAACUCCACUGAACUCCUGUUAACACUAAUUAGAGUUGCCAGCAUGCAGCGGAAUCAAAGGCAAAACAUGUGGAGCUCCCACUGAAGUCAAGAGGAGAAGGGUAUGACUUAAAGGAGAGGCAUGCAAAUUAAAAAUAAAUGUGGUUCAACUUUACCAAAUGAGCUACUCAUGUAAAUACACACUUUGAGGUCUAACCCUUCCUAUUGGGAACACUCUCCCUGCAAGUUCAUUCCUAAUCAGGAGACAGCAUUGUCCUUGACCACACUUGCCAAAUGAGAACCUAUCUUGUAAAUGAUGGGUCCAAGCUAUGGACUAAGUAAAGCAAUUGCCAUGUGUUUCUUUCUCCUUAAAAUUGUUACUAUUGUUGCUGUUGUUAAUAUUCUUGUUGUUUAUUCACUGUGUUAUAGGCAAAAACCAUUAUUUUCCAAGCCCUGCCACCAGAAAGGCAGUGCUACUUCUUACAGCAAUUUUAGAUUUCUCAAAGACUUGAAAUUCUAGGUAAAAUCUUAGCAAUAUGGCAAAU